rnacentral:rRNA from 1 species
AUGCACGCUGGCGGCGUGCUUAACCCAUGCCAGUCGAACGGAAAGGCCCAAGCUUGCUUGGGUACUCGAGUGGCGAACGGGUGAGUAACACGUGGGUGAUCUGCCCUGCACUUCGGGAUAAGCCUGGGAAACUGGGUCUAAUACCGGAUAGGACGAUGGUUUGGAUGCCAUUGUGGAAAGUUUUUUCGGUGUGGGAUGAGCUCGCGGCCUAUCGGCUUGUUGGUGGGGUAAUGGCCUACCAAGGCGUCGACGGGUAGCCGGCCUGAGAGGGUGUACGGCCACAUUGGGACUGAGAUACGGCCCAGACUCCUACGGGAGGCAGCAGUGGGGAAUAUUGCACAAUGGGCGCAAGCCUGAUGCAGCGACGCCGCGUGGGGGAUGACGGCCUUCGGGUUGUAAACUCCUUUCGCUAGGGACGAAGCGUUUUUGUGACGGUACCUGGAGAAGAAGCACCGGCUAACUACGUG